ACGAAGGGAGCUAGCGUUGUUCGGAAUUACUGGGCGUAAAGGGCGCGUAGGCGGUCAAGCAAGUCAGAUGUGAAAGCCCUGGGCUCAACCCGGGAACUGCGUUUGAUACUGUUUGGCUUGAAUUCGGUAGAGGUGAGUGGAAUUCCCAGUGUAGAGGUGAAAUUCGUAGAGAUUGGGAAGAACACCAGUGGCGAAGGCGGCUCACUGGACCGACAUUGACGCUGAGGCGCGAAAGCGUGGGGAGCAAACAG
rnacentral:rRNA from 1 species